rnacentral:lncRNA from 13 species
UCCCCAGGGUUCGGAUUCCUCCCGGUUCGAGAUGCGGCCGGUUCGGGUUGCGGAUCCUGCCCGGUGCGGCACCAGAGCGGGAUGCGGUUGCACCGGAGCAGGUGCGGAUUCCUCCCGGUUCGGGAUUCAGUCGGUUCAGGAUGCGGAUCCUCGCUCGCUUCGGGAAGCAGCCGGUUCGGGCUGCGGGUCCUCUCGGUACCUGAUGCAGCAGGUUUGGGAUGCAGAUUCCCCCGGUUCGGGAUUCAGUCGGUUCAGGGUGCGGAUCCUCGCUCGGUUCGGGAUGCGGAUGCCCGGUUCGGGAUGCGGAUCCCCGGUUCGGGAUGCCGAUUCCCCCCGGUCCCUGAUGCAGCCGGUUCAGGAUGCAGAUUUUCCGCUUCGGGAUGCAGCCGGUUCGGGAUUCAGCCGGUUCUGGAUGCGGAUUCCCCGGUUCGGGACGCCGCCGGCUCCCCCCGGUUCGGCAGCGGGCUCGGCGCGCAGCCGGUGCCGCGGACCCGACUGCGGCGGGCGAGGCACGAGCGGGGCUUUUAUGGGCGGCGCGGGCGGUGCCAGAGCCCGGUGGGCAGAGCCGGCCCGGGGACAGCCCCCGGCCCCGGUCCCUCGGCCCCGUCCCCNUCGAUCCCAAUUUUCCCUCCCCCACCCCCCAUCCCCUCUCCCACCUCUUUUUCCCCCCCAAAUCUCCCCGUGUGCUUUUGGGGGCCGGCUCCAAAACCAGCAGGAAUUUUAGGAUCCCGAUAAAGGCAAAGCGCCGAUAUUUUAUCGAUCGUUUUUAUGUUUAUUGAUCGCGAGGCUUCCCAGCCUCUCCCUGCGUGCUCUGAAUCCCCAGGGAACAAAGCAAACCUUGGAUUCCCCAUGGGAAAGCUCUUCCCCCUCCGCCCCCUCCGCUUCCUUCCCCUCCGGACCGGACACUUCACCGCAGGGCCUUUCCCGCACCACGCGAACCCCAGAAGGGCUGGAAAAUCCCGCUCCACGAGAAGCCCUCCUCUCCCGGCUGCUGGGAUUUUCCCCUUCCCGCAGUUCGUAUCCAGGGAUUUUAACGCCGCUGUCACUGCCAGAACCAUCCCGGCCCUGCCGCUCCUCCCUCGGGAUGCGCCGCUGCCGCCGGGAAUCGCCCGGGGAAGCCGCGCUCGCUCCUCCGGUUGGCCGGGAAUGAUCCCAAAUCCCGGGCUGGCGGGAGAGGAGCCGCCCCCAGGGAUGGGAUCGUCUCCCGCUGUGGAUUCCCCCCUGAGCCGGGGGGACACCAGACCCCCCCAAAUCCCGCUGCUCCUGGAGGAAAAUCCAUCCUCAUCCUCCAGGGAACCACCGGAGACGGGAAUUCUCCAUCCUCAGAGCUUCCGGCUCCUCCACCCAGCCUGGCCGAGGCCCCGGAUCCCAAAAACCGGGAGUGAGCAACGCCGGGAGCAGCUUCAGCCUUUGCCCCCUCCCGGGAUUGAAGCCGCAGCUCCCAAACCACCGGCAGCCCUUGGGAUUGGGGUUUCCCUGGAAUUUUGGCUGGGAAAAAAAUCCCAUGCAGGCGGCUCGGGCUGGGCUUUAAACCCGCAGCCGGGAGGGGUUUCCCAGGUUUUGGGGUCGUUAAUCCCAUUGUUUUCCUCCUCCUCCUCCUCCUCUUCCCGGGGCAUUUUUGGGAUUUGGAGCCUCCCAUGCUUGGAUUUGGGAUUUGGAGCCUCCCCGCCCCCAUCCCAAGCUGGGCAGGCGGGGGUUGUGCAGCAGGAAAUUUGGGGGAGUUUUUCCUAAAUCCGGGUUGGUUUUCGUGGGUUUUUAGCGGUCAGAGGGUGGAAGCUCCUCAGAGCAUCCCAGGGUGGGAUUUAUCUCCCUGGGGAUCCUGCCGGCAUUCCUGGAGGGAAGAAAAUAUCCCGGGGAUCUUAAGGACUUCAAGGAUUUAAUCCUGAAAUAUUUUGGGAUGGGGUUUAAACCCUGCCUUGGAAUUAACCCCCCCUCCCCCUCCCCAAAUCCAAAGCUGCUGGAAUCCCGGAUUUCCCAAGGAGAGGAGGGAAUUACCAGGAUUACCCAAACCAGACCCCAAAACCGCCCCCAGCAACCCCAAAUCCGCGGUUCCUUUGCUGCUGAGCAAUUCCCGAUGCCGGGAUGGGGAAGGAAAACGCUGCUCCAGGAGGGAUUUAGGGCAGGGAUCCAUCCCAAAAUCCCGGUGCUGGCUCUGGGUUCCCUCCUGCCCCGGCUCAGGGAAGGAUUUGCUGAUUUAAGCCUGGUUUAAUAAAUUUUGUUUAUUUUAAGACUAGUUCUCCUCGGGAUCCCUCGGCCCGGCACAAAGAAUUCCCUGCGGAAUUCCCAUUGAAAUUCCCGAUCCCGCUUCCCUGAAAACCCCCCGGGGGGUUCGUGGCCGGUUCCUUCCUUUCCCUCCCCUCCUUGUUCUCCAGCUCAAAUUUAGGCUCAGAUUCUCAUUUUAGGCCGGGCCUGCCCGACCUGAGCUGGGUUUGGCUGCGUGGGUGGGGGAGGGGGACCGGUCUUGGUGCCCUCCGGGAGAUUCCGGGGAAAUUCCAAAGCCUUUCGGGAUUUGGGGGUGCUGGGAUUUGGGGGAGUGGGGUUGGGAUUUGGGGCUGUAGGUUUGGGAUUUGGGGGAGCGGGGCUGGGAUUUGGAGGUGCUGGGAUUUGGGGGGGUGUGCAGGGUUGGGAUUUGGGAAUGCAGAGCUGAGAUUUGGGGGUGUGGGGUUAGGAUUUGGGAAUGCAGGGCUGGGAUUUGGGAAUGUGGAGUUGGGAUUUGGGAAUGUGGAGUUGGGAUUUGGGAACGCAGGGCUGGGAUUUGGAGGUGCAAGGUUGGAAUUUGGGAAUGCGGGGCUGGAAUUUGGGGGUGUGGGGUUAGGAUUUGGGAAUGCAGGGCUGGGAUUUGGGGGAGCAGGGUUGGACUGGCCAAUCCCACCAGGAGCAUUUUCGGGGAUGAAAUCGCAGCCGGUUCGUUACCGUGGCUCCCAAUCCGGGCGAAUCCCGAAAAUCUCUGGGAAUUCCAAGAAGUUCUUGGCUUUAAAGGAGAAAAUUUGGGCAGUCCGAGGGGAAAAACAAACAAGGAAAAGAAUUUGUCGGAUAAUUGGUGGGAUAAUUGGUGGGAUAAUUUGUGGGAUAACAAAACCCCGCUGGGGGAGGUCGUUUCUCCCUCCAGCUGCUGGAGAAUUCCCGCAUUCCCACGGGUCCAUUCCGUGCAUUUUUCCAGGAAUCUCAUGGAUUAAACACCCCCGGGAGAGGCCAAAUUCAACCCCUGGGGUGGGAAUUGGGAAUAACGGGGAAGCUGCAGCAGAUCCAGCCCCGCUUCCCGGGGAAUCCCGCACGGAACGCGGGGCCGAGCGGAGACUUUCCCUUUUCAUUACGUGUUAUUCAUUUUUAUUAAGUUUUCAUUCUUUUUAAUGGUUUUCGGUUAUUCCGAGCCCCCGGCAGCCUCGUUAAUGAAUUAAUUGGCCGGGGGUUCAUUAGCGAGGGUUUGAAAUGGCGGCAGCUGCGCUGACUCAGCGAUCUGGGAAUUCUUUGGGAAUGUUGGUUUUACCCAAGGAACAAAUUCACCCGGAAAACGGCAGCAAAUCCCCGUUUCCUGGGGCUUGGGAACUGUUAAAUCAUGGAAAAAAACCAGGGAAAGGCAAAGCUGCCGAGGCUGAGCCUUUUCCUUUCCCCCCCUUUUUCCCUUUUUCCCCCCUUUUUUCCCCCCAUUCUUUCCCCAUUUUUUCCCCUUUUCCCCCAUUCCCUCCC